UAUGAAUACUUGUGUGUAUAUAUAGAACCCUAGAUAUCUUCAUAUAAGUGUUUCUUGAAGGCCUCCAUGUGAGCUACCUGUAGACACGUGGCGAGAAUCAGCGAGCCGUCAUCAUUUUUAUCAGGUAGUAGCAGAGAGCCCCCGUCGCCGUCAUGCGUGCAUGGUCCCAUGUGGACCUCCUUUCCCCACCCGAAAUCAAGGCCGUACAUUGGUAGAGUUAACCAGCUCACAAGUCCAAGAUUAGGGUUUCCGUAGAAUGGACCGUCCGUGCUGCCCAACGCAUGUAUAUCUUGAAACGUCUUCAGAUCCUCAUGGUUUUUUAGAUACUCUAUUCCAGUCAUUACGUAUUCGUUUGUCACACUCUUUAUGGCUUCACUAAUUUUUUCGGCCGCGAAACCCAACCCAUUCGAUAUGAGUUCACCUAUAUAAGAAAAUUUAUCGAAAUAUAGAAAUCGCAUUGUAUGAUAUCCCUAAAUACCUAUUAGUGUGAAAUUAGUUAGCUACAUUAAACUCCCAGAAUCGGGGGGAAAUAAGACUGGUCUGACUAAACGUGCAUGAUAAGCUACCAAGAGUUCUUUCAUCUAUAUUUGAAUUCCUAUUGUAAAUGUUCAAGAAGUAUAUUCUUUCUAAUGCUAGCUUACAUAUCCGAUUGAAAAUAUUUUUAACUGACUGCGAUUAGAUUGAUUGAGAUGGUGAUGUAUUAUUGUUUAGGCCAACUCCAAUAAUACUAAAAAACCAAAUUAGUGUAAUUUUUUUAAUUGUAAACUAAAAGGAUUAAACCCGGGUCUAUUAAAGACAUAAAUCUAAUCUCCGGGUGGAGGUACAAUCCACAGAUAGACUCUCUCCUGGAUAUUCAAAUGAUCCGAAAGCAAUAGUCCAUAUCUGUGUGGCCAACGGGGUUUCGCUAUAUUGGGUUUAUUUCUCUCAAGCGAAUUAGUGCAAUUUUACUCUCACGAAAUUAUAUAGAUAAAGUCGUAUCACUAAAUUUGAUAUUUUGUGAAUAGUAUUACACCAAACUUGGUGAACAAUAUUCAUUGCACCAAACAAUUAAAUAAUAUAUUUUAUUUUUAUUUAAUAAGAAAUUAAAUUAAUGUUAUUAAUUAGUUUAAAAUAUUAAAAGUAAUAUAUUUGUAUUUUCAUAUAUUUUCUCAACACUGAAUCUUAAAUUAUAUUUUUAUUUAAUAAUAUUGGUAAAUUACUACAUUAAAUAGUUAAAUUUUGUAACAAAAAUAACUAUAAUAUAUUGUUUUGUAUUUUCCUUUUCAAUAAUAUGAUAUAAAUAUCAAAGUAUUUAAAUAAUUAAAAUUUAUUUCUAGAACAAAUCUCAGCAAAAACAAAAACAAAAACAAAAUAGCAGCAGAAAAAUUAGAUUAAACAACUUUUAAAAUUUGUCAAAACGUACCUGAGGUGCUUCUUGCGACCGCAUUAAUAGUGGCAUUGCCAAAGUAGCCGCGUGGUAAAGGUGGCUGCACCCGACUACGAGUAUCUACACAGAUUCCCAGAGACGUGGGUUGUUCUGGGGAGUGCCCACGUGCUUUAGACGCGCACCUCCACACAUGUCCCGCGACCGUCUCGUACCUUGUAAACCCUCUAGCUGGGUCAGCGUAUUCACUUGUAUUCACUCUGCUUCUAAGCUUCUCAAUCAAAGUUUUGCUAAGUUUUAGUAUCUCUACAGUUGUUUUCUUCUUUCUUUCUUCUACAUUGUCCGUUUCUCCGAUCAGCAACGGUGGCUGUUCAAACCCUUUGCGUUCGCACUGAGGUGGGGAGGCAAACGGCGGAAGCGGUUUACCAGUCCAGAGGAUUUUGCGGUCGAGAAAUGGAGUGGUUUCAAGAGGUUCCCCGCGAGCGAUUCUUCCCCAUUCAGACAAGAAGUGAAACGCGCUCUGUCCAUCGACCACCGCGUGUGAAAUGCUGACGCCGAGGCUUAUUCCGCCGCAUUUAAAUCUGGUGACCUGAGCUAAGAAGAGAGGGAUCGUUUCAAUAGGGUGUUUGUAGUUUACUUGCGGAACAAGUUUCUCAAAUUCUGGCGUUGGAGAGAAAUCGUUGAAAUCUGAAAGUUUUGCCUCGGACUCGGCUUCCAUGAAUGACACUCCCUCCGCGUUACAAUCAAGCUCUAACCGCCCCCGAGGGAGCCACUUAAGACGGCCGGCCAUAGGGUAGAAGUGAAAAAGCGCACGGCUCAACGAGUUUCUUAGGGUUUCGACUACAUUGCCCUGGAACAAUUCAGAUGGCUUGUUAUAGAAGUAAACGGUAGGAACGUGAGUUAUUGUACCAACUAGAUCCCAUUCGGCUAAUGGAAAACAACCGGCCCAUGUAGGUUCAGAGGGUACGAUGGUAUAAAUAUUUCUUAGGAUGAUAGGAGCCAUAUCAUAAACCAGUUUUCUUUUUGAGUUUCGUCGACGUAAAGUAGUAUUUAUAUAAUAUAUUGAAUCGUAUGAGUUUAUCAUUAUUUUAUAGCACUUUUUAAAAAUGUAUUUCUCGUGAUUUAGUUUGUUUCCUUGUAGACGGCUUAUCUUGUGGAAGUGAUAAUAAGGUUUACUUGUUGGUAUGUGUGCUCAUGCUUAUUGUCCUUUUCUUAAUUUAACUCACUCAAUCGAUUAAUAUUCCAAUAUAUUUUUAAAAGACCUGUCUACAUAAACCGAAUAUAUUACAUUUACAAUGAAGAAUCUAAUAUUUCUUAGUUAUUCAUAUGGCUGAUGUAACAUACGAUUACGCAUUUACAAUCUUAUUGGAAAGAAUGGCUGAUGUAACAAACAUGUCUGACCAUGAGUCGAACCAGAAUGACCUGGUCACCACAUAGAAGUGAAGAUGGGAAUCGUAUAUCAUUCUGGUUCGACUCAUAGUCACAUUUGGGGCGCGUCUCCUUAAUAGGACCUAAAAAUUGUAUCCACAUGGGAAUAAGGACAAAGCAUCGGCUCACUGAUCUGUUUAAUACAAUAGAGAGAAUGCGUUGAGGCACAAUGAGCAAAGAGAACUGUGGGUAAUGUAAACUUAAAUCGAAGUCAAAUUAAACUUCAGGUGGAUCUAUUGGUAUAUGAUAGUUUCGAAGGGGAAAUAAGUCGUUUUCUCAAAAGGUUUUGCUUUCUGAAACCAAACCAGCGUUUUAGUUUAAUUGAUCUACUCUUCGUCAUAACCUAAUAUCAAAACAGCGUCAAUGAAGGACGAAUUUGGAUCCACUGAGAACAUGAGAGCAUAUGCAAUGGUGGACUCUUUCUUGGAGUUCUUACCAUUAUUUUAGUUUUUUUUUUUGUUUGAAUAGUUAAUGAUUCUAGUAAAAAUGGUGUGUUCAAUAGUGAUCUCUGAUUAGGAAUCCUUACAUAGAUAUAUAUAUUUCCCUCUAUCCAAUGAGACGCGGCCACGUCACUAAGGACUUAAUCCUUAAACUCCUUGUCUAAAGGAUUGCUCCUUACCGAAUUGGACUUUGAUAAUAUUACUAGGGUCGGCCCGCCCUACGGGCGGGAUGAGAAUUAAAAAAAUAAUUAAAAUAGUUAGACUAUAUAUAUUAUAUAAAUUGUUAUUAUAUAAGAAAUAGGGUCAGUCAUGUGUUCUAUGUAAUUAUAUAAUUGUAUACUUUCGUUGUAUUUUGUUCGUUUUUGCAAAAGCAGUGUAUUUUUUUGACAUUAUGGUCUUAAAUGGUUUUAGGGUUUGUAGGGAUUAUGUUUGAGGUGUAUGUGGACUUUCUUAUUGUAUUUUUUUUAUAGUUAGUAGUCCAUAAUUUGUUGGUGAAUUGUGUGUUUCUAUAAUUUGGACUCUUAUGUGUGUGGGCGUGUAUAUUAUGUCACUCAGCUCAACACCUACAAACUUAUUUGAAGUAUCUUAGGUUCCAAGUAAAGUGUGCAUUACGGUUUUUGAGAAGAUUGUUCAUUGCUGUUUUAAAGGAGAUAAAGUUAUAACUAUUAAUUUGAAGCAUAAGGACAACACAUGUAAGCGAGGAGAAUUUAUUCAUUGAAAUGAGAAUGUAACAUUUGGUGUGAAAGUAUAAAAAUAGAAAACCGAUUUUGAAAACUAUGCUAAACGGAAUGUAGUACUUAUAGUUCUUAUGGGUCCGAAAUUAAGAAAACAAUGAAGAACAUUUAUGAUUAAUUUAUGGUUAGUUUAAUAAAAAACUUAUUAUAUAUUUAUAUGGACCAACAUAUUUUUCUAAGGAUUCUAAGAAUGAUUGUGGUGAUGACAUGUGGCUACAAAAAUAUGUUGUAAUGCUUCUCUUUUAAUAUAUAGGGGAUAACUGUUCUUUUGAAUAUUGUUUUUUUUUAAUUGUAUUUUUUGAUUAAAUUAUUGUAUUAUAAUUUUUAUGUAAAUAUUUUUUGUGAUGUUUGAAUUUGUGAUAUUCGUAUACUUAACCUAGAUGAUAUUGAUGUUUAACAAUUUAUUGUUUUCUGGAAAUAGAAAAUAAUGAUAUAUCAAAACGUAUCUUAUGUAAAUUACAUCCAUUAUUUGAAAAUAACAAUUUAUUGUUUUUAUUUUUUUAAAAUCAGAAAUUAUAUUUAUUUUAAAAAUUAUUCAUAUAUAAUAUAAUAGUUAAAGUUUGGAACAUUAAUAUAUAUAUAAAUUAUGUAUAUUUUAAAAAAAAAAAUUUAAGAUAUUAUAUAUUGAGUAACUGAAUAAAAACUGAAUUUCUUAUCUUGAAAAUCAAAUAUUUAUAUUUUGUCUUCAUGUUAUACACACCAAUCCAUCAUUGAUAUUUAUAACUCAGUAUGUUUUUAAAAAAAAAACUUAGUUUUAAGAAAUAAAUGAAUUUAGUAAAUUAAAUUCAUCACCUAUAAUGUUCUGUAAACUAUAUUUGAAAACUCUCUAAAAUUAUAUUUUAAGCAUAACAUUACUAUUAUUUAAUUUAAGUUAUUUUAAGCAUAAUAUAUGCUAAACCAAUUUAAAUUAUAUUUACAAUAGGACUAUCCUAAACCGGUUAAUAAACCAAAAACAAUACUAAACCAACAUGAACCAAUACCUGAUUCGGUGAGGAAGGAAGUGUUUCGGGAUAAACGCUUUAAUGGUUAUUAACUGUAAUAGUUUGAUCAUGAAAGAGUUACUAUGAAUAUUAACAAUAAAAUUAUGGAUUAGAUUAAUUAAAUUUGUAAGAAUACCUUUGAGUCUAUGAAAAGCAAUUCAAUUCCCAUAAAUAAGUUUGGCUUUUGAAAGUUGCGGGUUUCCCAACAAUGAAUCCACCUAACAAAAAGUUUGUUGUUAUAAAAAAUCUCAUUCAAGGUCAUUAAAGGUUUUUGGGACGGCAAAAGUUGAUGGUGGAACCAUUUUUUUGCUCGAGUGCUUUGAAGUUUUCCUUGAUAGGGUGAGGUUGAUGGAAUAAUGAGUUUUAUAAAGAUUUUCUUGAUGUAAAACUAUAAAUUUUUGUUUUUUUUUGUUUAAUGUGGUAUUUCAAUUUUUAUAUAAUUUACUACCAUUUUAAGAGAUAUGUACAUUUUAAGAUAGAUGUUUAAAUCUUAAUGUAUUUUUUCCAUUUUUUAAAAUGUUUAUUUCCAUUUCUUAUAUUUUUAUUUACGUAAUAUCUAUAUUUUAUAUUUAAAAAUAUAUAUUUAAAUCUUAAUGUACUUUUUCCAUUUUUUUUAAAUUGUGUAUUUACUUAUAUUAUAUAUUUUACAUUUUAAGAUAGAUGUUUAAUGCUUAAUGAACUUUUUCCAUUUUUAAAAAAAAAUGGUGUAUUUACUUAUUAUUAUAUAUAUAAUUCAUAUAUUAUAUAUUUACAUAACGGGUGUGUUUCAAAAAAAAAAAAAAAAAAAAAAAAAAAAAGAAACUACAACAACAAUAAUACGGAUAGAGGUGUUAAAGGGCUGAAGAUACCCAUAGAAAUGCUUUAGUUGAAACUGAUGUUCCCAGUACUGAUAUUGGGAUAUGAGCCGACAAAAGAGGACUCUAAUGAACGGGUUCGAAGACGGUUGGUAUCUCCUUUGCUUCAAUGAUUAGAUUCUCUCCGUUGAUCAAAUAUUAGUUUAUCAACAAAAAAUAUAUGUCCGUCACUCAAAUGUUGGAAAAUGAUCCGCAGUUUAGUAACGAAAAAUCAAAUGAUCUAUUCCUCAGGUUGUAGAAUGAUAAGGCCCUUCAAACUAAUUUAGCAAAAUGAAACUAACUAUAAUGUGCCAACGGUAUUAUAAUUUGUAAUCAUUUUUCUGCUAUUCUGUUCAAACUAUAUCCACGAGUUGAAGCCUAUAUAUGCUCAAUAAAUAAUACUAUUAGCAAGGCUUGAAAAGGUAUCAUUUUGGCAAAUUAUAAUUGGUCUAAUUGAAUUUUAGCAAUAUAUUUUUUGUCUGAGUUUAAGCUAUCGCACAAACAUACUUUCCGUCAUUAAAUCUUCUGAUGGAUUGCUACAAUGAUAGUCUUAAACAGCUAUAUAUGGAUUUGACAAAUAACCCGUUCUUAGUCAAAUGCAUUAAGAUCAUUCCAACUGUUGAUAUAGACAAACUCAUCUUUAAAUUCAAUAUAUACCACAUAGUAAGCAAAAAUAUAAAGUUUAAAUAUAUAUGUGUAAAUUUGUUAUUACAAAUCAAGAAUCACACCAACAGUAGUAGAAUCCCUACUUGAAUCCUUAUUCAAAUGGAAAUGAAAAUGCAUAUAUAUAUGAAUACUUGUGUGUAUAUAUAGAACCCUAGAUAUCUUCAUAUAAGUGUUUCUUGAAGGCCUCCAUGUGAGCUACCUGUAGACACGUGGCGAGAAUCAGCGAGCCGUCAUCAUUUUUAUCAGGUAGUAGCAGAGAGCCCCCGUCGCCGUCAUGCGUGCAUGGUCCCAUGUGGACCUCCUUUCCCCACCCGAAAUCAAGGCCGUACAUUGGUAGAGUUAACCAGCUCACAAGUCCAAGAUUAGGGUUUCCGUAGAAUGGACCGUCCGUGCUGCCCAACGCAUGUAUAUCUUGAAACGUCUUCAGAUCCUCAUGGUUUUUUAGAUACUCUAUUCCAGUCAUUACGUAUUCGUUUGUCACACUCUUUAUGGCUUCACUAAUUUUUUCGGCCGCGAAACCCAACCCAUUCGAUAUGAGUUCACCUAUAUAAGAAAAUUUAUCGAAAUAUAGAAAUCGCAUUGUAUGAUAUCCCUAAAUACCUAUUAGUGUGAAAUUAGUUAGCUACAUUAAACUCCCAGAAUCGGGGGGAAAUAAGACUGGUCUGACUAAACGUGCAUGAUAAGCUACCAAGAGUUCUUUCAUCUAUAUUUGAAUUCCUAUUGUAAAUGUUCAAGAAGUAUAUUCUUUCUAAUGCUAGCUUACAUAUCCGAUUGAAAAUAUUUUUAACUGACUGCGAUUAGAUUGAUUGAGAUGGUGAUGUAUUAUUGUUUAGGCCAACUCCAAUAAUACUAAAAAACCAAAUUAGUGUAAUUUUUUUAAUUGUAAACUAAAAGGAUUAAACCCGGGUCUAUUAAAGACAUAAAUCUAAUCUCCGGGUGGAGGUACAAUCCACAGAUAGACUCUCUCCUGGAUAUUCAAAUGAUCCGAAAGCAAUAGUCCAUAUCUGUGUGGCCAACGGGGUUUCGCUAUAUUGGGUUUAUUUCUCUCAAGCGAAUUAGUGCAAUUUUACUCUCACGAAAUUAUAUAGAUAAAGUCGUAUCACUAAAUUUGAUAUUUUGUGAAUAGUAUUACACCAAACUUGGUGAACAAUAUUCAUUGCACCAAACAAUUAAAUAAUAUAUUUUAUUUUUAUUUAAUAAGAAAUUAAAUUAAUGUUAUUAAUUAGUUUAAAAUAUUAAAAGUAAUAUAUUUGUAUUUUCAUAUAUUUUCUCAACACUGAAUCUUAAAUUAUAUUUUUAUUUAAUAAUAUUGGUAAAUUACUACAUUAAAUAGUUAAAUUUUGUAACAAAAAUAACUAUAAUAUAUUGUUUUGUAUUUUCCUUUUCAAUAAUAUGAUAUAAAUAUCAAAGUAUUUAAAUAAUUAAAAUUUAUUUCUAGAACAAAUCUCAGCAAAAACAAAAACAAAAACAAAAUAGCAGCAGAAAAAAUAGAUUAAACAACUUUUAAAAUUUGACAAAACGUACCUGAGGUGCUUCUUGCGACCGCAUUAAUAGUGGCAUUGCCAAAGUAGCCGCGUGGUAGAGGUGGCUGCACCCGACUACGAGUAUCUACACAGAUUCCCAAAGACGUGGGUUGUUCUGGGGAGUGCCCACGUGCUUUAGACGCGCACCUCCACACAUGUCCCGCGACCGUCUCGUACCUUGUAAACCCUCUAGCUGGGUCAGCGUAUUCACUUGUAUUCACUCUGCUUCUAAGCUUCUCAAUCAAAGUUUUGCUAAGUUUUAGUAUCUCUACAGUUGUUUUCUUCUUUCUUUCUUCUACAUUGUCCGUUUCUCCGAUCAGCAACGGUGGCUGUUCAAACCCUUUGCGUUCGCACUGAGGUGGGGAGGCAAACGGCGGAAGCGGUUUACCAGUCCAGAGGAUUUUGCGGUCGAGAAAUGGAGUGGUUUCAAGAGGUUCCCCGCGAGCGAUUCUUCCCCAUUCAGACAAGAAGUGAAACGCGCUCUGUCCAUCGACCACCGCGUGUGAAAUGCUGACGCCGAGGCUUAUUCCGCCGCAUUUAAAUCUGGUGACCUGAGCUAAGAAGAGAGGGAUCGUUUCAAUAGGGUGUUUGUAGUUUACUUGCGGAACAAGUUUCUCAAAUUCUGGCGUUGGAGAGAAAUCGUUGAAAUCUGAAAGUUUUGCCUCGGACUCGGCUUCCAUGAAUGACACUCCCUCCGCGUUACAAUCAAGCUCUAACCGCCCCCGAGGGAGCCACUUAAGACGGCCGGCCAUAGGGUAGAAGUGAAAAAGCGCACGGCUCAACGAGUUUCUUAGGGUUUCGACUACAUUGCCCUGGAACAAUUCAGAUGGCUUGUUAUAGAAGUAAACGGUAGGAACGUGAGUUAUUGUACCAACUAGAUCCCAUUCGGCUAAUGGAAAACAACCGGCCCAUGUAGGUUCAGAGGGUACGAUGGUAUAAAUAUUUCUUAGGAUGAUAGGAGCCAUAUCAUAAACCAGUUUUCUUUUUGAGUUUCGUCGACGUAAAGUAGUAUUUAUAUAAUAUAUUGAAUCGUAUGAGUUUAUCAUUAUUUUAUAGCACUUUUUAAAAAUGUAUUUCUCGUGAUUUAGUUUGUUUCCUUGUAGACGGCUUAUCUUGUGGAAGUGAUAAUAAGGUUUACUUGUUGGUAUGUGUGCUCAUGCUUAUUGUCCUUUUCUUAAUUUAACUCACUCAAUCGAUUAAUAUUCCAAUAUAUUUUUAAAAGACCUGUCUACAUAAACCGAAUAUAUUACAUUUACAAUGAAGAAUCUAAUAUUUCUUAGUUAUUCAUAUGGCUGAUGUAACAUACGAUUACGCAUUUACAAUCUUAUUGGAAAGAAUGGCUGAUGUAACAAACAUGUCUGACCAUGAGUCGAACCAGAAUGACCUGGUCACCACAUAGAAGUGAAGAUGGGAAUCGUAUAUCAUUCUGGUUCGACUCAUAGUCACAUUUGGGGCGCGUCUCCUUAAUAGGACCUAAAAAUUGUAUCCACAUGGGAAUAAGGACAAAGCAUCGGCUCACUGAUCUGUUUAAUACAAUAGAGAGAAUGCGUUGAGGCACAAUGAGCAAAGAGAACUGUGGGUAAUGUAAACUUAAAUCGAAGUCAAAUUAAACUUCAGGUGGAUCUAUUGGUAUAUGAUAGUUUCGAAGGGGAAAUAAGUCGUUUUCUCAAAAGGUUUUGCUUUCUGAAACCAAACCAGCGUUUUAGUUUAAUUGAUCUACUCUUCGUCAUAACCUAAUAUCAAAACAGCGUCAAUGAAGGACGAAUUUGGAUCCACUGAGAACAUGAGAGCAUAUGCAAUGGUGGACUCUUUCUUGGAGUUCUUACCAUUAUUUUAGUUUUUUUUUUUGUUUGAAUAGUUAAUGAUUCUAGUAAAAAUGGUGUGUUCAAUAGUGAUCUCUGAUUAGGAAUCCUUACAUAGAUAUAUAUAUUUCCCUCUAUCCAAUGAGACGCGGCCACGUCACUAAGGACUUAAUCCUUAAACUCCUUGUCUAAAGGAUUGCUCCUUACCGAAUUGGACUUUGAUAAUAUUACUAGGGUCGGCCCGCCCUACGGGCGGGAUGAGAAUUAAAAAAAUAAUUAAAAUAGUUAGACUAUAUAUAUUAUAUAAAUUGUUAUUAUAUAAGAAAUAGGGUCAGUCAUGUGUUCUAUGUAAUUAUAUAAUUGUAUACUUUCGUUGUAUUUUGUUCGUUUUUGCAAAAGCAGUGUAUUUUUUUGACAUUAUGGUCUUAAAUGGUUUUAGGGUUUGUAGGGAUUAUGUUUGAGGUGUAUGUGGACUUUCUUAUUGUAUUUUUUUUAUAGUUAGUAGUCCAUAAUUUGUUGGUGAAUUGUGUGUUUCUAUAAUUUGGACUCUUAUGUGUGUGGGCGUGUAUAUUAUGUCACUCAGCUCAACACCUACAAACUUAUUUGAAGUAUCUUAGGUUCCAAGUAAAGUGUGCAUUACGGUUUUUGAGAAGAUUGUUCAUUGCUGUUUUAAAGGAGAUAAAGUUAUAACUAUUAAUUUGAAGCAUAAGGACAACACAUGUAAGCGAGGAGAAUUUAUUCAUUGAAAUGAGAAUGUAACAUUUGGUGUGAAAGUAUAAAAAUAGAAAACCGAUUUUGAAAACUAUGCUAAACGGAAUGUAGUACUUAUAGUUCUUAUGGGUCCGAAAUUAAGAAAACAAUGAAGAACAUUUAUGAUUAAUUUAUGGUUAGUUUAAUAAAAAACUUAUUAUAUAUUUAUAUGGACCAACAUAUUUUUCUAAGGAUUCUAAGAAUGAUUGUGGUGAUGACAUGUGGCUACAAAAAUAUGUUGUAAUGCUUCUCUUUUAAUAUAUAGGGGAUAACUGUUCUUUUGAAUAUUGUUUUUUUUUAAUUGUAUUUUUUGAUUAAAUUAUUGUAUUAUAAUUUUUAUGUAAAUAUUUUUUGUGAUGUUUGAAUUUGUGAUAUUCGUAUACUUAACCUAGAUGAUAUUGAUGUUUAACAAUUUAUUGUUUUCUGGAAAUAGAAAAUAAUGAUAUAUCAAAACGUAUCUUAUGUAAAUUACAUCCAUUAUUUGAAAAUAACAAUUUAUUGUUUUUAUUUUUUUAAAAUCAGAAAUUAUAUUUAUUUUAAAAAUUAUUCAUAUAUAAUAUAAUAGUUAAAGUUUGGAACAUUAAUAUAUAUAUAAAUUAUGUAUAUUUUAAAAAAAAAAAUUUAAGAUAUUAUAUAUUGAGUAACUGAAUAAAAACUGAAUUUCUUAUCUUGAAAAUCAAAUAUUUAUAUUUUGUCUUCAUGUUAUACACACCAAUCCAUCAUUGAUAUUUAUAACUCAGUAUGUUUUUAAAAAAAAAACUUAGUUUUAAGAAAUAAAUGAAUUUAGUAAAUUAAAUUCAUCACCUAUAAUGUUCUGUAAACUAUAUUUGAAAACUCUCUAAAAUUAUAUUUUAAGCAUAACAUUACUAUUAUUUAAUUUAAGUUAUUUUAAGCAUAAUAUAUGCUAAACCAAUUUAAAUUAUAUUUACAAUAGGACUAUCCUAAACCGGUUAAUAAACCAAAAACAAUACUAAACCAACAUGAACCAAUACCUGAUUCGGUGAGGAAGGAAGUGUUUCGGGAUAAACGCUUUAAUGGUUAUUAACUGUAAUAGUUUGAUCAUGAAAGAGUUACUAUGAAUAUUAACAAUAAAAUUAUGGAUUAGAUUAAUUAAAUUUGUAAGAAUACCUUUGAGUCUAUGAAAAGCAAUUCAAUUCCCAUAAAUAAGUUUGGCUUUUGAAAGUUGCGGGUUUCCCAACAAUGAAUCCACCUAACAAAAAGUUUGUUGUUAUAAAAAAUCUCAUUCAAGGUCAUUAAAGGUUUUUGGGACGGCAAAAGUUGAUGGUGGAACCAUUUUUUUGCUCGAGUGCUUUGAAGUUUUCCUUGAUAGGGUGAGGUUGAUGGAAUAAUGAGUUUUAUAAAGAUUUUCUUGAUGUAAAACUAUAAAUUUUUGUUUUUUUUUGUUUAAUGUGGUAUUUCAAUUUUUAUAUAAUUUACUACCAUUUUAAGAGAUAUGUACAUUUUAAGAUAGAUGUUUAAAUCUUAAUGUAUUUUUUCCAUUUUUUAAAAUGUUUAUUUCCAUUUCUUAUAUUUUUAUUUACGUAAUAUCUAUAUUUUAUAUUUAAAAAUAUAUAUUUAAAUCUUAAUGUACUUUUUCCAUUUUUUUUAAAUUGUGUAUUUACUUAUAUUAUAUAUUUUACAUUUUAAGAUAGAUGUUUAAUGCUUAAUGAACUUUUUCCAUUUUUAAAAAAAAAUGGUGUAUUUACUUAUUAUUAUAUAUAUAAUUCAUAUAUUAUAUAUUUACAUUAUUUACNNNNNNNNNNNNNNNNNNNNNNNNNNNNNNNNNNNNNNNNNNNNNNNNNNNNNNNNNNNNNNNNNNNNNNNNNNNNNNNNNNNNNNNNNNNNNNNNNNNNNNNNNNNNNNNNNNNNNNNNNNNNNNNNNNNNNNNNNNNNNNNNNNNNNNNNNNNNNNNNNNNNNNNNNNNNNNNNNNNNNNNNNNNNNNNNNNNNNNNNNNNNNNNNNNNNNNNNNNNNNNNNNNNNNNNNNNNNNNNNNNNNNNNNNNNNNNNNNNNNNNNNNNNNNNNNNNNNNNNNNNNNNNNNNNNNNNNNNNNNNNNNNNNNNNNNNNNNNNNNNNNNNNNNNNNNNNNNNNNNNNNNNNNNNNNNNNNNNNNNNNNNNNNNNNNNNNNNNNNNNNNNNNNNNNNNNNNNNNNNNNNNNNNNNNNNNNNNNNNNNNNNNNNNNNNNNNNNNNNNNNNNNNNNNNNNNNNNNNNNNNNNNNNNNNNNNNNNNNNNNNNNNNNNNNNNNNNNNNNNNNNNNNNNNNNNNNNNNNNNNNNNNNNNNNNNNNNNNNNNNNNNNNNNNNNNNNNNNNNNNNNNNNNNNNNNNNNNNNNNNNNNNNNNNNNNNNNNNNNNNNNNNNNNNNNNNNNNNNNNNNNNNNNNNNNNNNNNNNNNNNNNNNNNNNNNNNNNNNNNNNNNNNNNNNNNNNNNNNNNNNNNNNNNNNNNNNNNNNNNNNNNNNNNNNNNNNNNNNNNNNNNNNNNNNNNNNNNNNNNNNNNNNNNNNNNNNNNNNNNNNNNNNNNNNNNNNNNNNNNNNNNNNNNNNNNNNNNNNNNNNNNNNUGUAUGUUUACAUAUUAUUUAUAAUUUUCGAAAAUUAGUAAUAUUAAAAUGUAAAACUAUAUUUUAUGCCACGUGUCAUCUUUCGGGAGAAGUUUUUUUUUUGCUGAUGUGGACGCUCUACGGAGCCUCAAAAGGUCCCUUUUAUUAGUAUAGAAUGUAAAACUAUAUUUUAUGCCACGUGUCAUCUUUCGGGAGAAGUCUUUUUUUGCUGAUGUGGACGCUCUACGGAGCCUCAAAAGGUCUCUUUUAUUAGUAUAUAGAUUGACAUUAUGGAGAUAAACCGUCUUUUCUUAAGUGAAAAAUGGUAAUCUACAUAUGUUUAAUGUAGUUUUUCUAUUUUUUAUGUUGUGUAUUUACAUAUUAUUUAUAAUUUUCAAAAAUUAGUAAUAUUAAAAUGUAAAAUUAUAUUUUAUGCCACGUGUCAUCUUUCGGGAGAAGUUUUUGCUGAUGUGGACGCUCUACGGAGCCUCAAAAGGUCCCUUUUAUUAAUAUAGAUGUUGUAUAUUUACAUAUUAUUUAUAAUUUUCAAAAAUUAGUAAUAUUAAAAUGUGAAAUUAUAUUUUAUGCCACGUGUUAUUUUUCGGAAGAAGUUUUUUUUUGCUGAUGUGGACGCUCUACGGAGCCUCAAAAGGUCUCUUUUAUUAGUAUAGACUAGGGAUUAACCCGGGCUACGCCCGGGUUUUUUUAUUUUUUUCUAAUUUAAGUUGUUAAAUUAUUUAUAUUAAGGCUAUGAUUUAUAUUUAUAUAAAUGUUAAAAUGCAUGUCAUAAUUAAAAUUUAUUUUUAAAUUUUAACACGUUAAAUUAACAUAUUUUUUACUAUUUAAAUAUUUUUUUGUAAUUUUAUUGGCUAUCUAGUUAUCAUAUUUAGCAAAACUAUCUUUUGAGUGUUGGAAUAAAUGUUUUAGAGAUUUUAUUAAACUGCAGAGUAUUUUUGGAUCGACCACAUGCUCAACAUUCGAAUGAUCCGUAAAAAGAUGGUCGAUCUCCUUGGCCAGGUAAGUAUAAUUUUAGCAAAAAUAUCUUUUAUUUUCAAAUAUUAAGUAUAUAACUAUUCUUUUUAAUAUUUUUUUAAUUGUAUUUUUGAUUAAAUUAUUGUAUUAUAAUGGUUAUGUAAAUAUUUUUUGUGAUGUUUGAAUUUUUGUUGUUCGUAUACUUAACCUAGAUGAUAUUGAUGUUUAACAAUUUAUUGUUUUCUGGAAAUAGAAAAUAAUGAUAUAUCAAAACGUAUCUAAAACUUGUUAAAUGAUAGUAUAAUGUAAAUUACAUCCAUUAUUUGAAAAUAAACAUUUGUUGUUUUUAUUUUUAUUUUAAAUCAGAAAUUAUUUUUAUUUAAAAACAUUAUUCAUAUAUAAUAUAAUAGUUUAAGUUUUGAAGAUUAAUCUAUAUAUAUAAAUUAUGUAUAUUUUUUAAAACAUAAUUUAAGAUAUUAUAUAUUGAGUAUCUGAAUAAAAGCUGAAUUUCUUAUCUUGAAAAUCAGAUAUUUAUAUUUUUGUCUUCAUGUUAUACUCACCAAUCCAUCAUUGAUAUUUAUAACUCAGUAUGUUUUUUAAAAAACUUAGUUUUAAGUAAUAAACGAAUUUAAUAAAUUAAAUUCAUCACCUAUAAUGUUCUGUAAACUAUAUUUGAAAACUCUCUAAAAUUAUAUUUUAAGCAUAAUAUUAUUAUUAUUUAAUUUAAGUUAUUUUAAACAUAAUAUAUGCUAAACCAACUUAAAUUAUAUUUACAAUAAGACCAUCCUAAACCGGUUAGUAAACCAAAAACAAUACUAAACCAACAUGAACCAAUACCUGAUUCGGCGAGGAAGGAAGUGUUUCGGGAUAAACGCUUGAAUGGUUAUCAACUGAAAUGGUUUGAUCAUGAAAGAGUUAGUAUGAAUAUUAACAAUAAAAUUAUAGAUUAGAUUAAUUUAAAUUUGUAAGAAUACCUUUGAGUCUAUGAAAAGCAAUUCAAUUCCCAUGAAUAAGUUUGGCUUUUGGAAGUUGCGGGUUUCCCAACAAUGAAUCCACCUAACAAAAAGUUUGUUGUUAUAAAAAAAUCUCAUUCAAUGUCAUUAAAGGUUUCUGGGACGGCAAGAGUUGAUAGUGAAACCAUUUUUUUGCUCGAGUGCUUUGAAAUUUUGCUUAAUAGUGUGAGGUUGAUGUGGAUGGAAUAAUGAGUUUUAUAGGGACUUUCUUGAUGUAAAAUUAUACAUUUUUUUUUUGUUUAAUGUGGUAUUUCCAUUUUUAUAUAAUUUACUACCAUUUAAAGAUAAAAGUACAUUUUAAGAUAGAUGCUUAAAUCUUAAUGUACUUUUUCCAUUUUUUAAAAUGUUUAUUUCCAUUUCUUAUAUUUUUAUUUACGUAAUAUCUAAAUUUUAUAUUUUUAAAUAGAUAUUUAAAUAUUAAUGCACUUUUUCCAUUUUUUAAAUUGUGUAUUUACUUAUAUUAUAUAUUUUACAUUUUAAGAUAGAUGUUUAAUGCUUGAUGAACUUUUUCCAUUUUUAAAAAAAUAGUGUAUUUACUUAUUAUUACAUAUAUAAUUCAUAUAUUAUAUAUUUACAUUAUUUACUUAUUAUUUAUUUUCAUGUAUAUGUAUUUCCAUUUCUUGUACUUUUAAUUUACUUAAUAUCUAUAUUUUACAUUUUUAGAUAGAUGUUUAAAUCUUAAUGUAUGUUUUCAAUUUUUUAAAUUGUAUAUUUCCAUUUGUUAUACUUUCUAUUUACGUAAUAUCUAUAUUUUAAAUUUUAAUAUAUAUUUUUAAAUCUUAAUGUAAUUUCCCAUUUUUUAAAUUUGGUAUUCACUUAUAUUAUAUAUUUACUUAUUAUUUAUUUUUCUUUAUAUUGUGUAUUUCUAUUUCUUAUACUUUCUAUUUACUAAUAAUUUUAUAUUUUAAGAUUGAUUUACAUUUUAAGAUAGAUGUUUAAAUACUAAUGUAUUUUUUCCAUUUUUUUAAAUUGUGUAUUUCCUUUUCUUAUACUUUCUAUUUACUUAAUAUCUAUAUUUUACAUUUUAAGAUAGAUGUUUAAUAUUUAAUGUACUAUUUCCAUUUUUUAAAAAUUGUGCAUUUACUUAUUAUUGUAUAUAUAAUUCGUAUAUUUAUAUAUUUAUAAUAUUUACUUAUUAUUUAUUUUUCUAUAUAUUGAGUAUUUCUCUUUCUUAUACUUUAUAUUUAGUUAAUGUAUAUAUUUUAUAUUUUAAGAUAGAUGUUUAAAUCUUUACGUAUUUUUCUAUUUUUAAUGUAAAACGGCAAUGUUUAAUAGAAGAACUUGGACAAAUAGUCAAAUAGUUAUAUUUAUGUUUUUUUUUCUUUUUUUAAUAAAAUUCUAAUGUUACAUUAUGAAGAUAACCCGUUUUUUUAGUGAACAAUGGUAAUCUUACACAUGUUUAAUGUAGUUUUUCCAUUUUUUUAUGUUGUAUGUUUACAUAUUAUUGUUAUUUUUAAAUGUAAAAUGGUAAUUUUACAUAUGUUUAAUGUAGUAUUUCCAUUUUUUAUGUUGUAUGUUUACAUAUUAUUUAUUAUUUUCGAAAUUAUAUAUAAUUUUUUUUUUACAAAAUAGUAAUGUUACAUUAUGGAGAUAAGCCGUUUUUUUUUUAGUGAAAAAUGGUAAUCUUACAUAUGUUUAAUGUAGUUUUUUCAUUUUUUAUGUUGUAUGUUUACAUAUUAUUUUCUUAAAAUAAAAAUGUAAAAUGGUAAUCUUACAUAUGUUUAAUGUAGUAUUUCCAUUUUUAUGUUGUAUGUUUUACAUAUAUUUAUUAUUUUCAAAAUUAUAUAUAAUGUUUUUUGUUUUCUUUAUAAAACGGUAAUGUUACAUUAUGGAGAUAAGCCGUUUUUUUUUAAGUGAAAAAUAGUAAUCUUACAUAUGUUUAAUGUAGUUUUUACAUUUUUUUUAUGCUGUAUGUUUACAUAUUUUUUAUAAUUUUCGAAAAUAAGUAAUAUUAAAAUGUAAAACUAUAUUUUAAUGUCAUGUGUCAUCUUUCGAGAUUAUAUUAUAUAUUUACUUAUUAUUUAUUUUUCUUUAUAUUGUGUAUUUUUAUUUCUUAUACUUUCUAUUUACUAAUAAUUUUAUAUUUUAAGAUUGAUUUACAUUUUAAGAUAGAUGUUUAAAUACUAAUGUACUUUUUCUAUUUUUUUAAAUUGUGUAUUUCCUUUUCUUAUACUUUCUAUUUGCGUAAUAUCUAUAUUUUACAUUUUAAGAUAGAUGUUUAAAUCUUAAUAUACUUUUUCCAUUGUUUUUAAGUUGUGUAUUUCUUUUUCUUAUAUUUUCUAUUUACUUAAUAUCUAUAUUUUACAUUUUAAGAUAGAUGUUUAAUAUUUAAUAUACUCUUUCCAUUUUUAAAAAAUUGUGCAUUUACUUAUUAUUGUAUAUAUAAUUCGUAUAUUUAUAUAUUUAUAAUAUUUACUUAUUAUUUAUUUUUUUAAAUAUUGAGUAUUUCUCUUUUUUAUACUUUAUAUUUAGUUAAUGUCUAUAUUUUAUAUUUUAAGAUAGAUGUUUAAAUCUUUACGUAUUUUUCUAUUUUUAAUGUAAAACGGCAAUGUUUAAUAGAAGAACUUGGACAAAUAGUCAAACAUAUUUAUGUUUAAUGUAGUAUUUCCAUUUUUAUGUUGUAUGUUUUACAUAUAUUUAUUAUUUUCGAAAUUAUAUAUAAUUUUUUUUAUAUAUAAAACGGUAAUGUUAUAUUAUGGAGAUAAGCCGUCUUUUUUUUAAAGUGAAAAAUAGUAAUCUUACAUAUGUUUAAUGUAGUUUUCCAUUUUUUAAUGCUGUAUGUUUACAUAUUUUUUACAAUUUUCGAAAAUAAUUAAUAUUAAAAUGUAAAACUAUAUUUUAUGCCACGUGUCAUCUUUCGGGAGAAAUUUUUUCCGCUGAUGUGGACGCCCUAUGGAGUCUCAAAAGCUCCAUUUUAUUUGUAGAGUGAAAAAUAGUAAUCUUACAUAUGUUUAUGUAGUUUUCCAUUUUUAAUGCUGUAUGUUUACAUAUUUUUUACAAUUUUCGAAAAUAAUUAAUUUUAAAAUGUAAAACUAUAUUUUAUGCCACGUGUCAUCUUUCGGGAGAAAUUUUUUCCGCUGAUGUGGACGCCCUAUGGAGCCUCAAAAGAUCCCUUUUAUUAGUAGAGAUUUUAUCUGGAUUCGCCUAGGAUAUAGCACUAAGGAUUCGUCUAAAUGGGCCGUUGCGGAUGCUCUGAUUAACAACAAACAAAUCACAUAAGCCAAUAGAACUCUUGACGUGAUACAGCACACGCAUCUAAAUGGGUCACAUGAGUUUGGUAUGGUUUCAUGUGUUAAGAAAGUAUUUAUGUAUUUUAACAAUUGUAUCAGUUUUAAGGAUAAGUACAAAAACUUUUAGAUUAGAAUGUAGAGAUACUAGUAUGAUCUCGUUAUUGAAUAUAAACUUUUCAGUUCACCUUCGGCAUUCUUGGGAAUCAACAAUUAUCAAGAAUACGGCCAUUCUUCAUAAUCAACGACUUCUCCUUGAACAGAUAUUCUUUUUGGAAUCAACCAGCUUCGGGUCUAUUCAGCUUAAAGCUGCGCCAGUUUGGUACGUUUCUUUUUCGGAAUACUUUCUCCUCAAGAGAAUUUUCACCAAAUAAUUGUACCGUCAGGUCUCUCACAGCAGAUCAACACAUAGGAAUCCAUAAAUGAGUGGACAGAGUUGCGGCUUCAACUAGUUGUGUCAGCAAGAGAAGAGUCUAUUAUUGAUUCGCAAGUCAUUGUACAAGAUGACAGCACAUCAAACAAACACUCACAAAAGGAUGGUUUUGUCGAAAUCACUUUACACGAGACCAACUUCAUCACAUGCAGGGGCAAAAAGAAACAAAGAGAAUUCAAAAGCAGAUAUCAAAUGAUGAGACAUACCCAGAAUUGUAUGACAAUUGAAAGCGUCGGGUUACACAUUGAUUCACAUGAGUUACACACCGACUCACGCACUUGAACUGAAUCGAUUCACAAUGUCUAAGAGGGAAGAGAUAGAAGAUCUCUGAAACGUAAUUGAAAUUUAUGGUGGAACCUAUCUUUGGCGUCUUUUUUUGUAACACCACUUAAUUUCAUUCAUUCAACCUUGUUCUGAUACAAUACAAGAGGGAAUAUUACAUCCUCUUUGCAAGAAAGCAUAAAGUACAAAGAUAGAUAAAACUAAAUCAGAUAAAUCUUCCGAAAAAGGUGACAACGAAUUCAAAACAAAGCUUGAAUGCGUCAAAAAAGCCUUCCCGACAAAGUCGGACAGCUGGAGAAUAGUCACACAAGGCGACGUUGAGAGACAGCCCUCACCAACGAGAACAAUCAAAUUAUUCUCGAUUGCAUCUUCAGGUCCUACAAACCGCUCCACAAAAUAACAAACUGGUGAAUAAACUGAAGCAAAGCCUCGGUAAUAGACCCGAGAAAACAUCUCCUUUCAUAGAGAGGAGGCAUGGUCGCAAAGUACUCUUCUCGGUAGAGGAAGAGGUUGAAACCGUAAGCAAACACGGUGUAUCCACCAAAACAAUCUUCAUAAAAGAGAGGUAACAAUAAUCGCAUAACAAAAACCCUAAUGAAUCCAUCAGAAAUCUUGAAGCUCUUCACACAAACCCACACAUCAGAAGUCAAUCGCAUAGUCACUUUUACAGUUCUUAUACCACAAGACUGAAAGGGCCAGGCCCAUAAACUUAGUACCCUCGGGUUGUAGACAACCAUUCGCUUUAUCAGAGACGGGGAGUACCUGGGAGAUACGCCGAAAGUGGAGAUGGGUGGUGAGGAGACGGGAACGUCGAACGGUGUAGAUGGAUGCUCACCGGAGCAAGCGGUUGAAACCCAACAGAUCUUCUCGGAAACCCAGAGGAGACUGCCAAACCGGUAUACUUUCGAGAUGAAUAAGGUGGUAGCGGACCGGGGAGUGCUCAAACUUAACAGACAUCGAGAUUCCAGUCCUGAAAGCCUGGUAAACGGUGGAAUCCCAACCACGCAGGACUUCAAAAUGCCGGAAACUAUGAUGAUGAUGAUUCCAUUUAUGUCAUUCACAAUGAUAAAGAUCAGAUUUCAAAGGAUUAGUUCAAAGUCAACGUUCCAUCGUGAAAGAUGACUAUGUGGACUUUCGUUUCACUCCGCUUUCACCACCGUUAUUGAUCUGUGUUACUCGAUUUCAGCAUAUUGAUAACAAAUGUUUUAAGUUUUUUGGUCUAACUCCUACCAUGACUUUCUCUGUGUACUGGUGAAAGCCAAUGAUGUUUCUAGACAUUCACAACGAGGGAACAAUGCGAAUUGCCUCCUUCCAUGGGUACGAUCGUGUCUUUUCAUUUCUUGGCUUGAUCGCCAAGAUGGAGUUUCAAAGCGGGUGCUAAGAGCUAUGUGUAGUCUACAACCGGGUAUCAACUACACAUCUGCGACAAUCAUUUGUUGGAACGAAGUAUAUUGCGCAUCUGGCAAGGUAUCUUUAUACGCUCCAACUGAUUUUCUUCUUACGCAUGAAGUGUCGACACAUUUACAAUCCAUUGUUGUUACACCAUUAUCACAAACUCAGCUUUAUCUUAUGGUGAGAGCUAUAGCAAAAUCCAUGAAAGUUACACUCAGUUUUGGAGUUGAAUUGAAUGUUUCGAUCGACGUCAAGGCAUCAACAAUUCCUUGAUUUUGGCCAUAUGGGUUAUUGUAUGAUGCUUGUGCUCAACUGCUCAUUACCAGUAUAUUGGCUUAUUUUUGUGUGGCCACCGUUGGUUCAUAGAGCAUUGAUGACAUCUUCUCCUCACCCCUACUCAUCAGUUGUGUGUCCUGUCAAGUUUUCCAAGAAAAUUACAUCUUGAAAAUAGGAUAUGGCCUAGCAAGUAGGAAUGAAUAUAUGAAUUGAUAAUAAACAACUUAUAACUCUGGCUUACGAAAUCCACAUGGAAGAUUUUCUUAUAAAUAGACUUAAUUCCAAUAAACAAACAUUUAAAAAAUGGCAAUUGUCAAUAAUAGCACCUUUUGAAGUUUAUGUCCCAAAAAUAGCACUAGAAAAAGAAAGUCACAAAAAUAGGUUUCAUUAAAGAGGUAAUUUACCCUUAUACCCUUUGUUAUAAGAAUAAAAAAAAAACAUUUCAUUUCCUUCGAUCGCGAAUCGUGUCGUCUCCUCUCGCGAAUCUUCAAACCCUCACCGGCACUGUCGUCUCCGACUCGGGAAUCGUCGUCUCCGGCUCGGGAAUCAUCUUCUCCGACUCGGGAAUCGUCGUCUCCGGCUCGGGAAUCAUCUUCUCCGGCUCGCUAGUCAUCUUCUUCGGCUCGCUAAUCAUCUUCUCCGGCUCGCUAAUCAUCUUCUCCGGCUCGCUAAUCAUCUUCUCUGGCUAUCUAAUCAUCAGCGUCACACUCUCUACUCUCAAAAUCGGACACAAAUCACUAUGUAACUUUUUAAAAUUAGGGUUUUUUAAUUAAAAUUUGGGAAGCUUGCGUUUUGAUUUUGAUUUGUUUGUUACUCUUUCUUAUUAACCAGCGAAGCAAAUGAAAGACUUUUGAAUUGUGGGAACACAAAGUUGUUGGAGCGUAAUUCAUCUCGUUGAGGUAUGUUGCAGAUUCAACCUUAUGUGUGUUUUCUUUCUGAGAGAUUGGUCUCCUGGUUUUUGCUUGUGUAUAGACUUGCUCGUUUUAACGUAAUAUGAUUGGUAGACUUCAGGAAGGAUUUGUAUAGACUUCAGGAAGGAUUUGUAUUGUUUCAGGAAACCCUUCCUGAAAAUUGGAUUUUUUUUUCUUGUCUACGCAGGAUAGAAACAAGAUGGGAGAUUCAGUACCUCUAAAACUAGCACUGCCAGAGCUGAAGUAUCCUAUUGGUUCACAGCCAAAGGAAAAGUCAGCAAUCAACCAAUACUCUGGCUCAGAGUAUAUCUCUAUUGUCAAAAGCAUCCUAAAACCAGAUGAGAUGAUAAGAGUCCGAGGAUCAUUUCUGGGACCUGUAAUGAAGCUCAGUGAGAGAGGAUUGAAGUUAUCAGCAAAGAUAGUCUACGCCAUUCUCACUAGAAGCAUCGUUUCUGUCAAGGAGAAUGAAGCCUGGUUCCAUUUCGGUGCGCAGCCAAUGAGGUUCUCUAUAAGAGAAUUUCAUAUGAUGACAGGCUUGAAAUGUAGUGGUGCAUUAGAAGGACCACGAAGGGAAACCGAGAGAUUUAAUUGGGAAUUGCUAAAGGGGCGUAGUCAUAAGUUAAGUGACGUGGUGGACCAGCUCAGAAACACAAGAGAAGAUGCUUCUGAGGAGAGAGUAUGCCUCGCAAUGCUCAUCCUGGUAGAGAGCAUAUUAUUGCGGAAGAGCAAAGGAGGGAGUUUUCCUUUGGAAUAUGCGAAAAAUGCACAGGAUAUGACAUAUCCAUGGAGAAAAGAGGCUUACAUUGUGCUCCUGAAGUCAAUUCAAAACGCUGUCGCGAAUCAUUUGGAGAAUAAAUCCAAAUUUGAGUUGCAAGGUUAUCCUCUAGUAUUCCUUCUUUGGAUACUAGAGUCGAUUCCUUUGCUAAGGGAUAAGUUCAGUAAGUGUGUACCAACAGUUGAGGUUCCUGGGCCGACUUACUUGUGUGAAAAAUACACUGAGGUAGAGAAUCCAUCACUUGAUAGGGUUUUACAGGUUGAAGCUGAUACAAAGGUAAGCUUUUCCAAGUAUAUGUUUCUCAGUUUAUUUGGCUUCUUCUUUUUAAUAUGUUUCUCAUUGGUCUUUUUUUAAAUACUCUCAGCUGAAGGUCCAUUGCAUACUACCUUCUAUUCCUCAUGAUCCAGAAGAUGAUAUCUCCAUUGAAGACAAAUAUAGUGAAGAGCUGGAAACAGUGAAAGAUGUAACAAAGAAAGGGUACAAGAUUACAGCCGAUGACUGGGAAAAUAGGUGUGUAGACACAUUUGACACAUUGGAUGCUCUUAUUCAAAUGAUGGCAAAUAAGGAGACUGGCCAAGCUUCUACUCCGAUUGAUGAAGAUUCAGUAAAUGAAAAAGUGAACAGGAUCAUCACGGUAAUGGAGGAGAAUCUGAAGAGCAUGAAGGAUCGAAUGUCAUUACUGGAAGAAGAAAACAUACAUCUUAGAGCUCGUGUGUCAGAGUUGGAAGGAAACAACAAUGUUUUUCCCACUAACGUGACACAAAAGGUAAAUUCUCAAAACAUGUUCUUUUACAUUUGCAUUUUCAAGUAUUUUUUGGAAGAUCUUGUACAUAUUCUUGAAUGCCUUCCUAAUAUUUGACAAACAGCGAUCCAGUGGGACACCUUUAUCUCCAAUGUCUCACACGCAACCAUCGAGUGAGACACCUUUAUCUCCAAUGUCUCAACAGCCUAAUUUGACACAUGAGGUAUGUAACCAAUAAAUAUUGUUGAGUUUUGAAGUAAUAUUUGGAAAGCUUUUGUACUUCUUGAAUGCAUUCCUGAUUUUUGCAGGAGACAAUGAUUGAAUCAGCUGCAUCUCCAAAGUCUCAACAAAAUGAGGUAUAUGCUCAAAAAUUUUUAAGAAAAUAUUUGGAAAUUCUUGUACAAAAUCCUGAAUGCCUUCCUGAUUUUUGCAGGAUUACACGCAACCAUCGAGUGAGACGCCUUUAUCUCCAAUGUCUCAACAGCCUAAUUUGACACAUGAGGUAUGUAACCAAUAAAAUAUUGUUGAGUUUUGAAGUAAUAUUUGGAAGCUUUUGUACAUAUUCUUGAAUGCAUUCUUGAUUUUUGCAGGAGACAAUGAAUGAAUCAGAUGAUGAAACUCAUGCCCUUGAUACUCAAGUAUUCUCUCCUAAUCUGACAAAAGAGGUAUAUGCUCAAAGAUAUUGUUUUCACAGUUGGAGUUUACAAAUUAGUUUUGGGUGAUUUUUUUUUACAUAUAAAGGCUUUUCUGAUUUUUGACAGAAAGAAACAGAAACGUCUACUCCAAUAGCUCCAAAGAGUAUUGAAACUCCCGUUUAUACUCCAAGUCAGACUCAACAGGUACAUGGUCAAAAAAAAUCUUGGAUUUUAAAGUUAAUGUUUGGAAGCUUUAGAACGUACUCUGGAUUGACUUCGUGAUAAUUUUUACAGAUUGAGAGAGAGCCAUCGGAUGACACGCCUGCCCUUGAUACUCAAGUUUUUACUCCUAAUCUGACAAAAGAGGUAUAUGCUCAAUGACAGUUGGAGUUUACAAUUAGUUUUGGGUGAUUUACAUAUAUAGACCUUUCUAAUUUUUGGCAGAGGGAAACACAAACCUCUACUGAUGAACGCCACCCAAAACUAAUCAAGAAGAAGGAAAACCAGAUGAUGAGGUAAUAUUUACUCUAGAAAUUAUAAUUGAAUGUAUUCAUGAUGGCCUUUCCUGAUAUUUAUUGCAGAUUGUGAUUGAGUCACCUGCUGCUCAGACUCAAGUUUUGCAAAAAGAAACACUGGAAAUGAAUGAGACACCUUCUUCUCCAAUAUCUCCAAAGAGUAUUGAGGCUCAAGUUUUUACUCCAAUUCAGAAACAGCAGGUAAAUGUUCAAAAAAUCUUGGAGAUUUCAAGUAAUGUUUGAAAGCUUUUCUACGUGUUUUUGAUCCCCUACCUGACUUUUUUUUGUUUUUUUUGCAGACGGUAACAGAGGAAACGUAUGAGGCUACACAGCCAUUGACUGAGAUCAUUUCAGCAAACAAUAAAAAGGUAAGCAUAGAAAUGUCUUUCAUAAGUACAAUUUGAAUUUUAAAUUGUAGAAACUUCUUCAUAACUACCUCUUUUAUUUUGCUGUUAUUACAGGAGGAUACACAUGCUGUGCAUCACACACCUUCCUCUCCAUUGUCUUCACUAAUUGCACUAGUUAUUGAAGAAAAUAAGAAUGCUUUGGUAAGAAGAAAUAUUUAAAAUGUUUAUGUAAUAUUUUUCUAUUCAACUAAUUCUUACCAUUUACUUUUGUCUUAUAGAGUGAGACAGAAACUGCGACCCAAUAUUUUUCUACAAGUGAAGGAGAGCAUACACAAUCAAGCAGAAAGAAUCAAGCAGAAGAAAAUCUCAAGGAUACUACAGAACCUACUACUGAGCUAGUUUCCACAGAUGUUUCGAAGACACAUCCUCUUACUCCGCAAACACAGCACCUUCAGACAAGUGAGGGAGAUCAAUCCGAUGAGACACCAUCAGAGCAGAAUCAAGCAGAAGAAAAUCUCAAGGAUACUACAGAACCUACUACUGAGCUAGUUUCCACAGAUGUUUCGAAGAUGCCGCCUAUUACUCUGCAAACAGAGCAUCUUCAGACAAGUGCUAUAGAUUUUUCAGAAACAAACGAGGUAUGCAUCGAGUAUAUUUGAUCUUUAAUUAUUAUUCUAACAAUUUAAAACCGUUGAUGUUACUGAAUCUUCAUUUUUAAUAGGUUGAAGUAAGCAGGCUUCUAGCUCACUUUCAAAUAGGCGCAGAGGUUGAGAUUUUGUCUACUGAUGACGAAAUAUGUUAUCCAGGAAAGGUUGUUGAUCUUAAACUGUGUGAAGGACUAGAGGAGCUGACAGUUGAGUACACGACACUCUUCACAGACCAACAUAGACUUCAGAAACUUCAGGAUACUAUCACGGCUGACAAAAUACGUCCUGCAACACCAACUAGUGACCAAAAAUUCUUUGAGAUGAUGGAUAAGGUAGAAGCCUUUUACAACAAUGGCUGGAGCAGCGGACAAAUUAGCAUGGUACUUGGUGAUAACACAUACUCGGUGUGUCUCUAUACUUCUAUGGAAACUAUUCUAUUCAAACAUUCAGAUUUGCGAAUUCAUAGAGAAUGGAAAGAUGGAGUCUGGAAGAUGGCAGAUAAGGUAAAUCAUAACUAGAAUUAUACUUCACGUGAAUUGUUUGAUAUACAUACAUUUUAGUUUCAGGAAUGGUUUUCAGAAAUUCCGAUUGCAACAAAUUUGAUAAUAUUUUGCUUGGUGUCUAUUGUUUGAUUAAAGGUGAAGCCUGAAAAGAAAAGGAAAGCUGCUGCCUCAUCACAAAAUUCAGGAAUGGAUAAUGUUUUCCUAAGAAGGAGCGAGAGGGUGCCUAAACGAUCUAGAGACACAAAAACUCCAUUCAAGUCUGACAGAAAUCCGGCUUUAGCUGUAAUACCUGAGAUUAUACCUGCAGUUGAUCCGUUUUCAACUCCUGCGGAACAUAAGCUUUCAAGGCUUCAAAAUUGGAUGACAUUAAAGCCCGGCAUGCAUGAAACGUAAGCAUGUUUCUGUCCUUGUCUAUAUAUUCUUAUAUUUAUGUAUAAGAGGUUUGGUAAU
rnacentral:lncRNA from 1 species